GUUCAGUCCGUUCGACCAUGCGAUAAAAUUAAAACGAUAAAUAGAAAAUUAGCAUGACUCAUGCGUAAAAAUGACAGGUAUAAAUUCAGAAAUGGUCCAAUUUUUU